AGAAGGAAGAGGGAGAGAGGGACAGAGUUGUUGUCCAUCGAGUUAAGGUGCGGUGGCGGUAGCUGGCAGAAGAGCCGACCCGGCGGUAGCAGCUCCAACAGGCCACGGCGGCAGCGUACCGAAGGAAAAAAAAGGAAGAGAGGAGGCGUAGGCUAUCAAAGCCGUGUGAGGCGUUUCCGGCGGUUUUGGCGGCCAAGUCUGGU
rnacentral:lncRNA from 1 species